rnacentral:tRNA from 1 species
UGGGGUGUAGCCAAGUGGUAAGGCAACGGACUUUGACUCCGUCAUUCGUUGGUUCGAGUCCAGCCACCCCAGCCA